UAUUUUUGCAGCCGAAUUACAACACAUGUAGUUCAUACAUAAAAAUCAUUUAUAAAAUAUUAGCAUG
rnacentral:ncRNA from 1 species